AUUGAACGCUGGCGGCAGGCUUAACACAUGCAAGUCGAGCGAGCGGCGGACGGGUGAGUAAUGUCUGGGAAACUGCCUGAUGGAGGGGGAUAACUACUGGAAACGGUAGCUAAUACCGCAUACCAUCAGAUGUGCCCAUAUGGGAUUAGCUGGUAGGUGGGGUAAUGGCUCACCUAGCCGACGAUCCCUAGCUGGUCUGAGAGGAUGACCAGCCACACUGGAACUGAGACACGGUCCAGACUCCUACGGGAGGCAGCAGUGGGGAAUAUUGCACAAUGGGCGCAAGCCUGACGCAGCCAUGCCGCGUGAGUGAAGAAGGCCUUCGGGUUGUAAAGAACUUUCAGCGGGGAGGCGUUAACUGCAGAAGAAGCACCGGCUAACUCCGUGCCAGCAGCCGCGGUAAUAC
rnacentral:rRNA from 1 species